rnacentral:lncRNA from 10 species
ACUUAACCUCUCUGAGUCUCUGUAAAAUGGAGGGAAAAAAUGCUUCUCUGGAAGAGUGGUUAAAUACUUGAAAGAGGCAAUGUAACUGUCUUAUGCCUAGAGCAUAGUAGGUGCUUAACAAACAGUAGCUUAUUUCUGGCAUUAUAAUUAGAUGAGGGGAAGGUCCCUCCUAGCACAGACCCUGGAAGAUUCUAUGACUCAGGGAGUGGGCAGAUUGCAUCCAUGGUCCCUGCCCUCAUUUGUAGCUACCUGAAGGGCCUGUCUCAGCAAUAAAAACAGCCAAGUGAGCACAGGCAGAGAAACAUCAUUUCCUCCUCCUCUUGAGGGCAGGAGUCCAGGCGCAGCCCCAGCAGCAGGUUGGAAUAAAUGCAGAUGCUGCAAAUUGAUGGAGGCCUGGUGUCUUCCAGAGUGGAGGUAAAGGCUGGCUGAGGAAUCAGUGAGGCCAGGAAGAGGGCUCAGCUGAGCAACUGAUCAAAGCAUCCCUCUUCAGGAAGGAGCUUCCUGUGUUUUCUCUGGGAACUCACCUGUUUUCCACUCCAGACUCUCCAAGAUAUGCAGAGCUUUGGGCCAGGAUCCUACAGCCACGGGUCAUGCAGAGCCAGUUGGCCACAUCCUUUGGGCCAAAUUUGGUCCUAACCAGGUCUUACCACGGUAACUGCUAACCAGUCCAUCUUCAGUUAAUAUUUCAUGCGAAUUGUUGAACAUCUUACCAUUUAAUCCAGAAGUUAUGUCCUUUAAGGAAUCGACCCUGAGCCUGUGAGUUUUACUUUGGGUUGGGGGUGAAGGAGUGGACCUU